CCUGGUUGAUCCUGCCAGUAGUCAUAUGUAUGUCUCAAAGAUUAAGCCAUGCAUGUCUAAGUAUAAGCACUUGUACUGUGAAACUGCGAAUGGCUCAUUAAAUCAGUUAUCGUUUAUUUGAUUGUACCUUACUACAUGGAUACCUGUGGUAAUUCUAGAGCUAAUACAUGCAAAAGAUCCCGACUUCACGGAAGGGAUGUAUUUAUUAGACUAAAAACCAAUGCGGGCCUCGGUCCGCUUGCUUGGUGAUUCAUGAUAACUUUUCGAAUCGCAUGGCCUUGCGCUGGCGAUGUUUCAUUCAAAUUUCUGCCCUAUCAACUGUCGAUGGUAAAAUAGUGGCUUACCAUGGUUGCAAAGGGUGACGGAGAAUUAGGGUUCGUUUCCGGAGAGGGAGCCUGAGAAACGGCUACCACAUCUAAGGAAGGCAGCAGGCACGAAAAUUACCCAAUCCCGAUUUGGGGAGGUAGUGACAAGAAAUAAAGGUACGGGGCCUUUAUAGGUCUCGCAAUCGGAAUGAGAACAAUUUAAAUCCUUUAACGAGGAUCAAUUGGAGGGCAAGUCUGGUGCCAGCAGCCGCGGUAAUUCCAGCUCCAAUAGCGUAUAUUAAAGUUGCUGCAGUUAAAAAGCUCGUAGUUGGAUUUCGGAGCGGGCCCGUCGGUCCACCGCAAGGUGAGCUACUGGCGGGUCUGUUCUUCUUUUCAAAGACUGCAGGUGCACUUCGCUGUGUGCUUGUCGGAUUUGUGACGUUUACUUUGAAAAAAUUAGAGUGUUCAAAGCAGGCUUUCGCUUGAAUACAUGAGCAUGGAAUAAUGGAAUAGGACUUUGGUUUUAUUUUGUUGGUUUCUAGGACCGAAGUAAUGAUUAAGAGGGACAAACGGGGGCAUCUGUAUUUCGUUGUCAGAGGUGAAAUUCUUGGAUUUGCGAAAGACAAACAACUGCAAAAGCACUUGCCAAGAGUGUUUUCAUUAAUCAAGAACGAAAGUUAGAGGAUCGAAGACAAUCAGAUACCGUCCUAGUUCUAACCAUAAACGAUGUCGACUAGGGAUCGGCGGGCGUUAUU
rnacentral:rRNA from 1 species